AUAAUGUGCUACAAGUAAUAUGCACUUAGAUUUAAUCAUUGUCAAUCAUAUUUAUAGACCCAAUACAUGCAUACCCAGUGCAUAAUUAGAGCAUAAUUAAUACUGCACACACCUACACACACACAAAGUGAUACAACUGAUUAGUUCCUUGCUCUUUUUUUGUGGGUGUGAAGAUAACUUCAUUUCAAGGAUUCUGUUGACAAAUGUCCAGCCAUAAAUAAAUAACAAGGAGGGCACAGUAGGGAAUUGACAGAAUAAUAUAAUCCACACCACGAAUCAAGUGACAAAAUGAAAGUAUCUCUAUAUAUGAGAUGAACUGGGUUUUAUAAGUUCUUUGCCCUCCUCGUGAAAUUAAGGGCAUGAUUCAUCCAAUAUCGCCGUAAUUUUCUGCACCUCUUGACAUGGAUGUUCCUCCGCCUUUCAUUAAUAAGAUCUGUAACUAAAUCAACCAUUUCAUCACCCUGCAGACCUCAUGUGCUAUUAAAUUCAUCUGCUCCCUUCUACCACUUAAGUGAACAGUGCAAGUCGCCACAUCCAUGCUAAACACAGCAGGUGGAAUAACACAAUAUGUUUUUUUCCCAUAGAUGAAACACUCGUGGGAGGAGAGGAACACAGCUGGAGGCGUCGGUCGCGCACACAGGACUGAAAAGUGUCUAGACUGACCAGCUCUCUAAUCCUACACUCACUUUCAUGCGGAUUACGCAUGUAGAAGAAAGGGCAUCCAGCGGAAGAAGGGAAAGAGCCAAAUGAAAGAGAUACUGCUUGUGAGAUCCAUGCCAAUAAUACACAUCUCUGGGAAGCUGGUGGAUGAGAGAUUUACAUGAAAAUUCAGUCAAGCCACACAGGUGGUAAGCAUCAUAUUACUGUGCCUUUGGCCUUUAGAACUGUGCUUUAUCUGUUUGUUAGCCUGAGUGAUGAAAUGGGAGUCAAUCUAGGGUACAGUCUCUGAAUUUACUUGUACUGUAAACCUGGCAAGACAAGGGUCGAGACAGGCCUUGUUGAGUCACAGAAUAUCUUAAGGUUUAUGGCAUACAAACAGAUUUUUAAAGAUUUUUAA